GUUAUAGCAGGGAGGUUCAAUCAAAGAUGCAGCACAAUGUGAGACGGUGGAGCAAGAGAUGCAGCUGAGUGCAAAGUGGGACCAUGAUUGCUUUGAGAACAACACCGGUAACAUUGCCUAUGAAGGGGCACAUAUUUCCUCUGUUUGUUACAGAACAACUAGUGUCUUGGAUUACUUAGAGAACAACACCGGUGACACGGCCUAUGAAGAGCACAUGCUUCCUCUGUUUGUAACAGAACAACUAGUGUCUGGGCCUGAGAAAGAGAUUCACGAAAUCUUUAUAUCCUGGUAUUAUUAUUAAAGAUGAAUGUGUGAGAAGCAAGAAAACUUCACCAAAACGGGUGGAUGAAAGAAGCCAUGGAACUAUCAGUAAGUCGCCUCACAUCACAAAGCAAACGGAA